CCCAGUUAUCAAUUUCCUUUCUCUUCGAAAAUAAUAGGGUGAAUUUGUAGAAAGAAUAAAAGGAACCAAUUUAUUGUGAUUGUGUAUUUAUUUUGAAGAAGGCCGAUGUGGUAGAUAAAUUUAUAGAAGUCGGUUUAGUAUGUGAGAUGUUCUUAGUUAACCAGGUCCAUAGAAUGUGAAAUUUAGUUUUAAUUUGCUACUAUUUCUUUGCCUCAAUUCCUCGUCACCAAAUACCAAAGACCAAAUAUGAGGUAUGCAAGUUGAGUAAGGUAGUGUACUCACCCAUUUGCACUCUAAGUUCGAAUUUCACAUUCUGUAGUUUAGGAUAUCAUCUUGUAAAAGAAUAUCAAGACAAAGGCACCAUCUUUUGAUAUAUAAUGAUUUAUGUGUGGUGUUUAAUUGGGUCAACCUUGAAAGGCACAAGACUAAUACUAGAAAAUCAUAUGGUUCAACAAUUGAAUUGAUACUAAAUCGUUUUGUUGACUUGGAAUUAUAACAAGUAAACAUUUUUGGCUUCCCAAUUUGGUGGUGCUCGUCAUUUUCCCUUCCUUCUGUUAUGAUGAACGUUGUUGCAGAAAUGUGUUAUGCCUUGUGAUUUGUAGUUUGUGCUGUACAACCAAAAGUUGAGAUAUUAGUGUUUAAUAGAAAAUGUUUUGUUGCGAGGAUAGGAAGUUGAAACUAGUAAAGUGAUUGAACGCCUAUAAUUUGAUAAGUCAGCUUUUAAAAUUUCUAUAUUAUGCUCUAAUCUAAUUAUGUUUUGAUGUAGAUUUACCUUUGUAUAUACAUAUAUGAAAUUCUUAUACUUUCAUGAUUUUCCGGAUUGAAGGUGCUCAAGCUCUGAUGUAGAUUUACCUUCAAGUUGCUUGUAUUAUUUGUAGUAGACCUAUCCCAUCCGAAAGAUGAUUGAAUAUAUUGAAAAGAAGAUGGCGAAGUUGUACUCACAAUUUAGGCAUCGGUUACAUCAGCACUACUUGUCAUGUGAAACACUUGUGAGAGGACGAGGUAAACUUCCAAAUGAUCUAAUGUUGAAUGGGAGACCAAAGAGUCAUUUGGAGUGGUUAUGUGAUAAUGUUUAGGCUACUACACUCCUUUUGGUAUGUAUUUUCUUGUAUAAGUCCAAGUUAGAUACCGAUGUUUUCUGAUAUAGUUAAAAAACAAUUUUUUAAUUAAGAGUUGAUUUUGUGAUAAAGCUCUGAUAAUCUAUAUAAUGUUACCGUACAAUAAUAAUAUAGGGGUGUUUUACAAGUAUUUUGUUAACAUUAGUCAUAACCAUAUGCAUAUAUUGUUUGCAUUCCUUAUGCUUCUCAUUGCUUUUGAUUAUGCAUUUUAAAUUGGUAAAAUUUGAGAAUGGCUACAAGAGUACUAGAGCUGAAAGCAAUUUAUAUAGUGUUUAUGAAAAUUUGAAUGAAUAUGUACAACUAAAAUAUAUCACUUUAUAUAUUACAAGUAUGGGAUUUUGGAACUUUCCAAAUUGUACAAAUGUCUAGUUAACUAAAUCUUCUUUGUAUGUCAUAUACCACAUAUAGUCAAAUGUGACGAAUUUUCAUAUUUAUGUGAAGAAUGUUUGUCGCCACAAAAAUUGUGUUUUCUUGUAGUGAUUUUUUUCUUGGCAGUGCAUUCAUCACCAAAACCCUCUGCAUAUGCCUUUUGUUUCUCUGCUGAUUUCGGGUACCCUUUUUCGUUCAUUUGCAGUAAAUGCCAUUAUAGGUAAAUUUUCAUAUUGAGAUGCUUGACAUGGCUUUUUUAUUUCACUUGUACUGAUGGGAUUUUGUAAUUUGGGUACUAGUAGAGUUUUUGGAAUUUUGUAAUUUGAAUUACUUAUAUGUUGAUUUUUGUGGAUGGUUUCGUACUUAUGGAAGAAUCGACUCUGUAUAGGUUUGGGAUAUAUCUUCAAACAUUUUCUUCUAUAACUUCAGUUUUUAACCAAAUAUCAUACAACUCUUUCACUCAAAUAUAAAGUGAUAAUUUGGGAGGAACUCAGAUCCCAACCCAGAUCUUCUUUUAGAAUCCCCAGCAAGGGAACACUCUUCCUUUCAUCUCUCUCUACGACCUCUAAGUUUUGUCUCAAUUACUUUCUCAAUUGAUGUUAUAAUAAUUGUUAAAAUUGUUAGAUUUAGGGUUUGGAUAAAUUAAUUGUAGGGAUAUUGAUUGUGGUUUAAUUGUUUUGGAAUGUCCCUUGCACAUUGCAAAAGUCUGGUACUAUUUGGGAGCUUUUGUAUUGCGAGUCCUAUGUUUGGCUUAGAUGUGGGCUUGAAUUUGGCUAGUGCUAGUUUAUCAAAAAUAAUAAUACUAACUUAGUCUUGUUAUUUUUAUUGCAGGUGUGGGGUUAAAUGUAAUGUAAUUGCUCUUGUUUAUGAGGCUAGUGAUGGUGAAUUUUAUUUCUGGUAUAUCGUAUAAUUUGUCCCUUUAUUAUGUUUUCUUGUUGGUUGCUAACUUGUGUUAAUCUCCCAUUCAACUGAUGCUGUGAAUAUUGUAUAUUUUGCCCUUCUGUUAUGCAGAACACUCUGAGCAAGGGGCUUUCUACAAGUAAGUUUGAUUAUGCUAGGAAUAUAUUGUAUAUUUUGGUUUUUUGUGCCUUGUAUUAAUUCUACAUACAUGGAUGAUGUCCUUUGCAUUUUCUUGGAUGUCUGAGUAGUUUGAUCAUGUUUAAUGCUAGACAUAAGCAAGCAGCAUUGUGCAACUAAAUUUGAUUCCCCUACUAGUUACAAACUAUAGUAACUAAGGAAUUGCUUUGUUUUUCUAUCACUUACUAGUUUAUAUAUUUUGGUCCUACAUAUUUGAGAAUUAACCUAGCACUUCUUAAGGAAUUGCCUUGUGUUUGUUUGUAUGGUGCUCUUUUGUGAUCAAAUUGGAUGCUCUAUGGACAAUGGACAUGGAGGAUAAGCUUGGGAGAUUGCUUUUUUGGGGCUGAUGCUACUUUGUAGUCAUGAUUAGUUUCCUCUGUCAACUUUAGGAUGUGCAUCAUUUGUAAAGAGGAACAAAGCAUUUUUGUUUGUGUCAAAACUUCCAAUUGUACUUUAAUUGACAAUUUCUACUAAUUAAUUUAAGUAUUUGGAAUUUAAUGUGUUUGU